GCUUCUGGGAGACUAGCUAGAAGCCUUCUUGGGGCUGAUUUAAGCCAUGAAGGUGAUUUGGUUACCCUGGGAUGAUGAAUUAAUAAGAGACACGCUGAUGAAACCAGAUCUGCUGAACCGGUGACGAUGCCUGCCAUUACGCUUCCCGUGCUGCUGCCUCACACCUCUCCUGACCAAUCAAAUGCCACAUGAGAAUCAUCAGUCGGACUGAUUGCGACUCUAACUGAUUACUGUGCUGCUCAUUGAUUGUGGUGUCUUUCGAUGUAACAGAGGGCAAAGAGCUCUGUCCCUCU